CCUACGGGAGGCAGCAGUGAGGAAUAUUGGUCAAUGGGCGGGAGCCUGAACCAGCCAAGUCGCGUGAGGGAAGACGGUCCUAUGGAUUGUAAACCUCUUUAGGCGGGGAGCAAUGCCGGGCACGCGUGCCCGGAGGGAGAGUACCCGCAGAAUAAGCAUCGGCUAACUCCGGGCCAGCAGCCGCGGUAAUACGGGGGAUGCGAGCGUUAUCCGGAUUUAGUGGGUUUAGAGGGUGCGUAGGCGGAUUUUUAAGUGAGCGGUAAAAUGUCCGGGCUCAACCCGGGCCGGCCGUUGAUACUGGGGAUCUUGAGUGGGCGAGAAGUAUGCGGAAUGCGUGGUGUAGCGGUGAAAUGCAUAGAUAUCACGCAGAACUCCGAUUGCGAAGGCAGCAUACCGGCGCCCGACUGACGCUGAGGCACGAAAGCGUGGGGAUCGAACAGGAUUAGAUACCCUUGUAGUC
rnacentral:rRNA from 1 species